CCUACGGGAGGCUGCAGUGAGGAAUAUUGGUCAAUGGGCGUACGCCUGAACCAGCCAAGUAGCGUGCGGGAUGAAUGCCCUACGGGUCGUAAACCGCUUUUGCACGGGGGUAACACCCUCCACGUGUAGCGUUCUGCAGAUACCGUGCGAAAAAGGGCCGGCUAAUUCCGUGCCAGCAGCCGCGGUAAUACGGAAGGACCGAGCGUUAUCCGGAUUCAUUGGGCUUAAAGGGGGCGUAGGCGGGCGUGCAAGUCAGCGGUAAAAUCGCGCGGCUCAACCGCGCCCCGCAGUUGAAACUGGGCGUCUUGAGUACAGGUGAGGUAGGCGGAAUGCGUGGUGUAGCGGUGAAAUGCUUAGAUAUCACGAAGAACUCCGAUUGCGAAGGCAGCAUACCAAACUGCCACUGACACUGAUGCUCGAAAGUGUGGGUAUCAAACAGGAUUAGAUACCCGAGUAGUC
rnacentral:rRNA from 1 species